rfam:Ictidomys tridecemlineatus contig037377, whole genome shotgun sequence.
GGAGUUGUGGCUCAGUGGUAGAGUGUGCACUUAACACAUGCAAGGCAUUGGGUUCGAUCCUCAGCAGCACCU